rnacentral:rRNA from 1 species
AGUGAACGCUGGCGGUAGGCCUAACACAUGCAAGUCGAACGGCAGCACAGUAAGAGCUUGCUCUUACGGGUGGCGAGUGGCGGACGGGUGAGGAAUACAUCGGAAUCUACUUUUUCGUGGGGGAUAACGUAGGGAAACUUACGCUAAUACCGCAUACGACCUACGGGUGAAAGCAGGGGAUCUUCGGACCUUGCGCGAUUGAAUGAGCCGAUGUCGGAUUAGCUAGUUGGCGGGGUAAAGGCCCACCAAGGCGACGAUCCGUAGCUGGUCUGAGAGGAUGAUCAGCCACACUGGAACUGAGACACGGUCCAGACUCCUACGGGAGGCAGCAGUGGGGAAUAUUCGACAAUGGGCGCAAGCCUGAUCCAGCCAUACCGCGUGGGUGAAGAAGGCCUUCGGGUUGUAAAGCCCUUUUGUUGGGAAAGAACAGCAGCAGGUUAAUCCACCGCUGUUCUGACGGUACCCAAAGAAUAAGCACCGGCUAACUUCGUG